AUGGCUCGGCACACGGUCUUUUCGACUUAUGUACUCAGAAAUGUGCCCAUCAGGACAGCUGUCAUAGUCAUAGCCAUGCUUAUCUUCUUCAAAUAUGUGUUCACAUGCCCUUGCACAACUCCCGAGGAGACUCUCCUGCACUGCUGGCUCUACCUGUGCCUGCCAAUAGGCAUCUUGUUCUUCAUAAUGAUUCUCAUCGACGCUCGGCUCCUGAAGAUGUGCAGAUGUUACGUGUGCAGAUGUUGCGUGAGCGGCCAGAGCAGAUGCUGUAAGAGUGAGUGCUGCGAUACAUUUGAAUGUUGCUGUUGUGCUGGUGGUUACUGUUAUCAUCCGGAGCGUUGUGGACAGGAAGGCUGGUAUUACUGCGGCAUCAUAUGGAAACACCUACUCAAUGUCUUUUAUGCGGCAUCGCUGUGGAUCGUCGUUGCAUUUAUUGACGGGGAUUGGUACGUUUGCGUGCGGACCGUGAAUGUGAACGGUACCGGGGAGCAAAUUGCGUGCAAGGAUCUACCAACUCCACGAGAAGCAGAGACUCUAAGAAAAUAUGAUAGUGAAUCACGGGUAAUUGGCCUAAUUCUUAUUCUUGGCCUUUCAUUUUUGUUGACGAUAAGCUCAUCUCUCAUGACCCGAUGGAAGCCGUAUUAUAAAUCACUCUAUGAGGUUUAUGUGGAGCGGGAGACGGCAGCCAUUCUGGAGGACAAACUACACGAAAAAGCUGUGGAGAGAGCCAAGCAAGUCAGUGAGCAUUCACUGAGGAACGUUCAAAAUCCACACACGAACAUGACUCAGAGUGAUGCUCGACAUGUUCAGUAUCAACAGUUAGGGAACGCUGAAGAAGACAUGUGGCACAAAAUAUCAGACCCCACCCUACAUUUAACAGAGUUGCCAUAGGCAAUCUAAACUUAAUGCCUGCUACAGUACCUGCAUCUUGCCAAAGGAAUAGUGUACCACUUUUUUUCCACAUUAUUUGCAUAUUCUAAUGCAAUCUUAUUUAUUGUGGUUUAUUUUCUGUUUAAUACUGAGACAGAUAUUAGCAAACUGUUACAAUAUUGCAUUCAAUAUGGCACAAAUGCUAUAUAAAUAGUGAGUGGUUCAGUAGAACUCCAAAUAAAAUACUGAGGUGCUAAGGAGGUUAGUGUGUG
ensembl:lncRNA